rnacentral:rRNA from 1 species
CCUACGGGUGGCAGCAGUGAGGAAUAUUGGUCCAUGGACGAGAGUCUGAACCAGCCAAGCAGCGUGAAGGAUGACUGCCCUCUGGGUUGUAAACUUCUUUUAUAUGGGAAUAAAAUGUUCCACGUGUGGGAUUUUGUAUGUACCAUAUGAAUAAGGAUCGGCUAACUCCGUGCCAGCAGCCGCGGUAAUACGGAGGAUCCGAGCGUUAUCCGGAUUUAUUGGGUUUAAAGGUAGCGUAGGUGGAUUGUUAAGUCAGUUGUGAAAGUUUGCGGCUCAACCGUAAAAUUGCAGUUGAAACUGGCAGUCUUGAGUACAGUAGAGGGGGGCGGAAUUCGUGGUGUAGCGGUGAAAUGCUUAGAUAUCACGAAGAACUCCGAUUGCGAAGGCAGUUCACUGGACUGCAACUGACACUGAGGCUCGAAAGUGUGGGUAUCAAACAGGAUUAGAUACCCCAGUAGUC